rnacentral:rRNA from 1 species
CGUUUAGGGGUAAACCUGAGAAACCCGAAAGGUCGAAGGGAGAAAUUCAUCGCGUUUCGAGAUGGGCGCCGGGCGAUCGUGUGACGGAAAUGGCGUUCGCGUCGUUUUUGCACCUUUCGUUCGUUGCGAACCCGUCACGAACGCGUGCACUUUUCUCCUGGUAGGACGUCGCGAUCCGUUGGGUGCCAGUCUACGGCUCACGGUGGAGCCCGUUCGUCGUCUUCACGGACGCUUACGAACGGACCCGUGUGUUUCCUGGCUGGCUCGCUCGACGGUAUAAAUGAAAGGUCUAGGGCCGCUCCUUGCGAGCGUUCGAAUCGUGGCAAGCCCGUCAGACGUGUCGGCGAUCGGACCUAGUGCCGAUUCCGGCCUCUGGCGACUGUUGGCCGUCGAAUCUCUCGAACAGACCCUCUACGACCGAUCUGCGACGCUAUAGCUUUGGGUACUUUCAGGACCCGUCUUGAAACACGGACCAAGGAGUCUAGCAUGUACGCGAGUCAUUGGGAAUCACUAAACCUAAAGGCGCAAUGAAAGUGAAGGUCUUCCUUGCGGAGACCGAGGGAGGACGAACGGAUUUCACCGUUAAAAGUGAGCCGUUCCGCACUCCCGGGGCGUCUCGUUCUCAUUGCGAGAAGAGGCGCACCAAGAGCGUACACGCUGGGACCCGAAAGAUGGUGAACUAUGCCUG